CUACUAUCUCUUACCCAUGUCUUUUGAGUACCUUCGUUUCCUCGGCGGGUUCGCCCGCCGAUUGGACAAUUUAAACCAUUUGCAGUUGCAAUCAGCGUCUGAAAAAACAUAAUAGUUACAACUUUCAACAACGGAUCUCUUGGUUCUGGCAUCGAUGAAGAACGCAGCGAAAUGCGAUAAGUAGUGUGAAUUGCAGAAUUCAGUGAAUCAUCGAAUCUUUGAACGCACAUUGCGCCCCUUGGUAUUCCAUGGGGCAUGCCUGUUCGAGCGUCAUUUGUACCUUCAAGCUCUGCUUGGUGUUGGGUGUUUGUCUCGCCUCUGCGCGUAGACUCGCCUCAAAACAAUUGGCAGCCGGCGUAUUGAUUUCGGAGCGCAGUACAUCUCGCGCUUUGCAUUCAGAACGACGAC
rnacentral:rRNA from 1 species